rnacentral:rRNA from 1 species
AGUGAACGCUGGCGGUAGGCCUAACACAUGCAAGUCGAACGGCAGCACAGUAAGAGCUUGCUCUUACGGGUGGCGAGUGGCGGACGGGUGAGGAAUACAUCGGAAUCUACUUUUUCGUGGGGGAUAACGUAGGGAAACUUACGCUAAUACCGCAUACGACCUACGGGUGAAAGCAGGGGAUCUUCGGACCUUGCGCGAUUGAAUGAGCCGAUGUCGGAUUAGCUAGUUGGCGGGGUAAAGGCCCACCAAGGCGACGAUCCGUAGCUGGUCUGAGAGGAUGAUCAGCCACACUGGAACUGAGACACGGUCCAGACUCCUACUGGAGGCAGCAGUGGGGAAUAUUGGACAAUGGGCGCAAGACUGAUCCAGCCAUACCGCGUGGGUGAAGAAGGCCUUCGGGUUGUAAAGCCCUUUUGUUGGGAAAGAAAAGCAGCAGGUUAAUACCCCGCUGUUCUGACGGUACCCAAAGAAUAAGCACCGGCUAACUUCGUG